AUGACGUGCCGGGCUGGCCUUUAUAACCGGCGUGCCGGCCAUUUUACAGGCAGGCCCUUUUACAGCCGGGCACAUGCCGGCCAUUUUACACCCGGGCCGGCCCAUGUGGCCAGCCAGGAAGAAGAACAAACAGGGGAACUGACAUAUCAGGCCAAUUCGGCACCAAUGGAGACGGUGCAGAAAAAGGAGGCUAUGGGAACCACUUGUCCUGAGGAUAACGGUAAAGAUAAAGAUGGAUCAACCACGGAUGAAAAAUACGAUCCACAGGGACCUCCUUCACCUCCAAGCGAUCUCAAAUCACUCAAGGAGGUGCAUGCAACAUCCACAACCGUCCCGGACCGUACUCCUCAGAAUGGAAGGGACAUGACACUGGGUUACAUCAUCAAACCAGAAGCUUUAAACGAGCUAGUCAUCACUAAUGCACUGCGAUGUGCCAAACUUGUCUUGGUGGGCAAGAAUCCUGAGCUGCAUGGGUUCGGGGCCGAUCCCAACUGCAUGACUCAAUUUGGGUUCUUCCCUCUGCACCGAGCUGCUGAAAUGUUCUCUGUUGAUAUGAUUGAGUUGCUCUUGCACCAUGGCGCGUCGGCCAAUUUGCGCACAUCCGGUGCUUUAGUCAUUGACAACCUACUCCCGGUCCAUGUUGCGGUUGAGAACACUUGCCUGCACACCUGCACAAGUACCUGGAGAACGGUCUACAUCCUAAUCAAGAAAAUAUGGAUUACAGUCAUGCAGAUAUCAACUAUAUCCUGA
rnacentral:rRNA from 1 species